rnacentral:rRNA from 1 species
GGAAUUGUUCGCAAUGGGCGCAAGCCUGACGACGCAACGCCGCGUGGAGGAUGAAGACCUUCGGGUCGUAAACUCCUUUCGAUCGAGACGAACGGCCUUCGGGUGAACAAUCCGGAGGGGUGACGGUACAGAGAGACGACGCACCGGCUAACUCCGGGCCAGCAGCCGCGGUAAUACGGGGGGGGCAAGCGUUGUUCGGAAUUACUGGGCGUAAAGGGCUCGUAGGCGGCCAACUAAGUCGGACGUGAAAUCCCUCGGCUUAACCGGGGAACUGCGUCUGAUACUGGAUGGCUUGAGUUCGGGAGAGGGAUGCGGAAUUCCAGGUGUAGCGGUGAAAUGCGUAGAUAUCUGGAGGAACACCGGUGGCGGAGGCGGCAUCCUGGACCGACACUGACGCUGAGGAGCGAAAGCCAGGGGAGCAAAC